rnacentral:rRNA from 1 species
GACGAACGCUGGCGGCGUGCUUAACACAUGCAAGUCGAACGGAAAGGCCCUGCUUUUGUGGGGUGCUCGAGUGGCGAACGGGUGAGUAACACGUGAGUAACCUGCCCUUGACUUUGGGAUAACUUCAGGAAACUGGGGCUAAUACUGGAUAGUAGCUCCUGCUGCAUGGUGGGGGUUGGAAAGUUUCGGCGGUUGGAGAUGGACUCGCGGCUUAUCAGCUUGUUGGUGGGGUAGUGGCUUACCAAGGCUUUGACGGGUAGCCGGCCUGGGAGGGUGGACAGCCACAUUGGGACUGAGAUACGGACCAGACUCGUACGGGAGGCAGCGGUGGGGAAUAUUGCACAAUGGGCGGAAGCCUGAUGCAGAGACGCCGCGUGCGGGAUGACGGCCUUCGGGUUGUAAACCGCUUUCGCCUGUGACGAAGCGUGAGUGACGGUAAUGGGUAAAGAAGCACCGGCUAACUACGUG